UACGUAGGGUGCGAGCGUUAAUCGGAAUUACUGGGCGUAAAGCGUGCGCAGGCGGUUUUGUAAGCCAGGUGUGAAAUCCCCGGGCUCAACCUGGGAAUGGCAUUUGGGACUGCAAGGCUGGAGUGUGGCAGAGGAGACUGGAAUUCCUGGUGUAGCAGUGAAAUGCGUAGAUAUGUGGAGGAACACCGAUGGCGAAGGCAGCCCCCUGGGUCAAGAUUGACGCUCAUGCACGAAAGCGUGGGGAGCAAACAGG
rnacentral:rRNA from 1 species